AGCCUGCCCAGUGGCUUAUUUCAACGGCCGCGGUAUCCUAACCGUGCGAAGGUAGCGUAAUCACUUGUUCUUUAAAUGAGGACUAGUAUGAAUGGCAUCACGAGGGCCAUACUGUCUCCUUUUUUUAAUCAGUGAAACUAAUCUCCCCGUGAAGAAGCGGGGAUAAGUAUAUAAGACGAGAAGACCCUAUGGAGCUUUAAACAAACUAACAAUUGUUUCAAAAACUCUACUUUCAGAAAUACCACAAAAAGCAUAACAUUUUGAUUUAAAAUUUUAGACUGGGGUGAUCACGGAGUAAAAAAUAACCUCCAUGCUGAAAGGUAAAAAUCCCUGAGCAAAAAUCCACAACUUCAUGCACUAGAAAACUAACAUAAAUUGACCCAAUAUUUUGAUCAACGAACCAAG
rnacentral:rRNA from 1 species